rnacentral:tRNA from 1 species
GCCUGGGUGGCUCAGUAGGUUGAGCAUCUGACUUCGGCUCAGGUCAUGAUCUCACAGCUCGUGAGUUUGAGCCCCGCAUCGGGCU